GACGAACGCUGGCGGCGAGCCUAAUACAUGCAAGUAGAACGCUGAAGGAGGAGCUUGCUUCUCUGGAUGAGUUGCGAACGGGUGAGUAACGCGUAGGUAACCUGCCUGGUAGCGGGGGAUAACUAUUGGAAACGAUAGCUAAUACCGCAUAAGAGUAGAUGUUGCAUGACAUUUGCUUAAAAGGUGCAAUUGCAUCACUACCAGAUGGACCUGCGUUGUAUUAGCUAGUUGGUGGGGUAACGGCUUACCAAGGCGACGAUACAUAGCCGACCUGAGAGGGUGAUCGGCCACACUGGGACUGAGACACGGCCCAGACUCCUACGGGAGGCAGCAGUAGGGAAUCUUCGGCAAUGGACGGAAGUCUGACCGAGCAACGCCGCGUGAGUGAAGAAGGUUUUCGGAUCGUAAAGCUCUGUUGUAAGAGAAGAACGAGUGUGAGAGUGGAAAGUUCACACUGUGACGGUAUCUUACCAGAAAAGGGACGGCUAACUACGUG
rnacentral:rRNA from 1 species